GUAUGUGCAUGGCCGUUCUUAGUUGGUGGAGUGAUUUGUCUGGUUAAUUCCGUUAACGAACGAGACCUUAACCUGCUAACUAGCUGCUUGGAUUUUGUCCUUGUUUGCUUCUUAGAGGGACUCCUGUGCUUCAAGCGUGGGGGAAGUUUAAGGCAAUAACAGGUCUGUGAUGCCCUUAGAUGUCCUGGGCCCGACGCGCGCUACACUGAUGCAUCCAUCGAGUUUGUCCUGUCCCGAAAGGGUUGGGUAAUCUUUAGUGUGCAUCGUGUCGGGGAUUGAUUUUUGCAAUUCUAAAUCAUGAACGAGGAAUGCCUAGUAUGCGCAAGUCAUCAGCUUGUGCAGAUUACGU
rnacentral:rRNA from 1 species